rnacentral:tRNA from 1 species
UGGGGCGUCGACAAGUGGUAAGUCACCGGGUUUUGGUCCCGGCAUUCGCAGGUUCGAAUCCUGCCGCCCCAA